AUGAGGUUUUUGACCAAUCUUCCAAUCAAAUUCUGGCUCGCCAUACAUGGAAGAGAAAGUAGUUAUUAUUUGCAAGUGUUACAUGUUGUCACAUAAGAUUCUUGCAGUUCUUGCGAAAUUUCUUUUGUAAGUCGUAACAAUAAGAACUAUUCUUUUAAUACGUUCUCUACGGGUUAGAAUACCAAAAAGUCCAAAUGGAAGUAGAAGAGACCUUCAAUGUACAUGAAAAAAAAAGAAAAAAACUAAUACAUCAAUUUUACACUCAAUAUAGAUGGCUGGUGUCUCUUAUACAACAGAACAUGACAGUUAGAAAAUGUAAAAUAUCUCUGUCAUUUGUCACUUUAACCUCCUCUCAUAUACAAGUAAUCGAGCUGUACAAUUGUACUCUAUUUAGCUUCCGGUACCAGUCAACCAACUGAUCAUCAAAAUUUACUCUUUCUCCUGUAGAGUAUAGGCAGUAGAAAAGGGCAGCAAGAAAAUAUAGGACUGAUGUAAGCAACAAAAAUCCUCGGAAUGAACCAACUAGCUCAACAAAAAAGCCAGCUCCAACUGUUC
rnacentral:lncRNA from 1 species